UUGGCCAAAAAGUUCAUUCGGGUUUUUCCAUAACGUGUUAACAGAAAACUCGGACAAACUUUUUGGCCA
rnacentral:miRNA from 1 species